GUCAAUUUUACUAUUCUUUUAGCAGUGUAAUGAAGAGCUUUGUCGAAUAAUCCUUUCUCGUCAUGUAGUGCCACAUCUAUCCAGAGGCGUAGUGGGUGUCGUUCAUGGGCGGGAUCAGUUGGCAGCACAGACCAACAUACCCAGCAAAUCAUCACAAGACACCGUACUCAUCUGGUUAAACGGGUUAGAUUAAAACUUUGCUACCCAGUGUCUACACUUUUGGAUCUUUCAUAAACUUCAUUUCAUUUUCCGAGUACCAUCUUUCAGAAGGCCAAAAAAGGCGCCGCCGCUCUUCCUCCAUACCCGCCCGCCUUUUACCAUCACUGCCCCAUCCUUUGGGUGAUUUUUAUCAAUUAACACACACACACACACACCCAGAGAUGCAAGUAUAUGAUAUAAGUAUUAAGCAUCAAUUCUAGCAACCAGUUUUAUGUGAUCAAAGCUACAAGAUGAUAUAUUAGAUUCCUGAUCACACACUGCAUAUUAAAGCCUUCUAAAUUUGAUUCACG
rnacentral:misc_RNA from 1 species